GGCGUAUUCCACCAUCACAAGGCGUUCCAGCGAUAGCAGUAUCUUAUCAGCCUACACAGGCAAUAAUGCCAAUUUCAGCUUCUCCGGCUGCAGCUUCCCGCGGCACCUCCUGCUGCCUCGUGGGAAGCCAGACGGCAUGACCUUCCGUCUCUUCGUGAUGGUCACUGACGCCGACGAAGACAGGGCCUUUGGAGGUGGCGAAGACGACCCUCCCAGUUUUUGCACUUUUUGCGGUAUUCCUGGCGCCCCUUACCCCGAUCGGUGGCCCAUGGGUACCCUCUGGAGAGAAAGAGCCUGCACACCGAAAUAGACGACUUCGUUGACGCAUAUUCCAACAUGAUGGUAAUCGACGUCAACAUUUAUCAUCAGGAAGAGCCACAGGGCGAGGAGAACCCGGGACGCUGAGGUCUAUACAGGUGUCUUGGCUCGCGUGUCAGCUGUUGGUCCUGUGGGUAGGGUAGUGUUAUUUUCAUUGAUAUUGGUAAUAGUAUCAUGAUCAUCGUCAGAUACUCUUAUUAUCUCUGUUUUGUCAUUACUCUCUCUCUCCCUCUCGUUCUCUCUUUCGCUCUCUCUCUCUCUCUCUCUCUCUCUCUCUCUCUCUCUCUCUCUCUGAAGAAGAAUAGGGUUUUGUGAGAAAGUCCACGUGACAACCAGGCUCUGAAACAUAUCCGCCAACCACAGGACCUUUGACCAUUACGAGCCACAUAUUACGGGUUAAAUAAAACCUGGAGAGUGAC